GUGGGGAAUCUUGCGCAAUGGGCGAAAGCCUGACGCAGCCAUGCCGCGUGAAUGAUGAAGGUCUUAGGAUUGUAAAAUUCUUUCACCGGGGACGAUAAUGACGGUACCCGGAGAAGAAGCUCCGGCUAACUUCGUGCCAGCAGCCGCGGUAAUACGAAGGGGGCUAGCGUUGCUCGGAAUUACUGGGCGUAAAGGGCGCGUAGGCGGACAGCUUAGUCAGAGGUGAAAGCCCAGGGCUCAACCUUGGAAUUGCCUUUGAUACUGGCUGUCUUGAGUUUGGGAGAGGUGAGUGGAACUCCGAGUGUAGAGGUGAAAUGCGUAGAUAUUCGGAAGAACACCAGUGGCGAAGGCGACUCACUGGCCCAAUACUGACGCUGAGGCGCGAAAGCGUGGGGAGCAAACAGGAUUAGAAACCCGAGUAGUCC
rnacentral:rRNA from 1 species